rnacentral:tRNA from 1 species
GCCUUCGUAGUGUAAGCACGCUGGGCGCGUAAUCCAGAGGUCCGAGGUUCGAGUCCCGGCGAGGGCA